rnacentral:rRNA from 1 species
UACGUAGGGUGCGAGCGUUAAUCGGAAUUACUGGGCGUAAAGUGUGCGCAGGCGGCACCGCAAGUCGAGUGUGAAAGCCCCGGGCUUAACUUGGGAAUUGCGCUCGAAACUAUGGUGCUGGAGUGUGGCAGAGGAAGGUGGAAUUCCAGGUGUAGCGGUGAAAUGCGUAGAUAUCGGGAGGAACACCAGUGGCGAAGGCGAUCACCUGGGGUUGUUCUGACGCUGAUGAGCGAAAGCUAGGGGAGCAAACGGG